UGAGUUUGAACCAGCAGAAACCACAACAAACAGACGCCAUAUUGGUUGUUUACCCCUUGAUCCUAGAGAGACCAAGGGAGAGAGACGAGUUAAAGGAAGAUCUCAAUUUACUACUGAACUACAAAGGGAGCGAGGAAUGUGACAAAAAGGGAGCAGCUCUGUUGAAGAACCAGGACAGGGCAGGGAAGGUGAAUGGCCCAUCUAUAUUCCCUGACCUCUGCACUUCACACCGCAAGAAUUUGAUGCACAUGUUGAAAAACCAUCAAAAGCUGCAAGACAUCAAAAGGAGAUGCAUCAAGGCAAAGGAAGAGCUGUCGGAGAAUUUGCACGUUAGACUGAAGUGGAUAAUGUAUAUAGAGAGGCGUCUGUACGAGGCGGACACGCGCGUCUCCAUUCACCAAGAGAGUGUGCGGCGCCUGGCUGGACUCCUGCAGGUGGUGGAGCAGAUUCACCGCGCCCCGAGGGUCUAUGCCGCAGCCGUCACGGAGGUGGCUCGCCGGCACGCCUUCUCCAGGGCCUUCCUGCAGGUUACACAAAGAAAACAUAGAUGAACUGAGAAGACUGCUGCCGGAACUUUCUCACUGCCUGGCCAUUGGUGAGGUUCUGGCGGUUCCUCCUCUGCUUCGCCAUUUCACAGCUGCCCUCAAUACACAGGAGGAGAGGAGGAGGAGGAGGAGGAGGAGGAGGAUGAAGAAGAACGAGGAGCAGGAAGACAAGGAGCAGGAGGAGGAGGAUGAGGAGGAGAAAGAGGAGGAGGAGGAGGAAAAGGAAGGCUCUAGGAGAUUACAAGAAAAGACAAGCACACAAGAUUAUGAGAUGAAAGAAGAGGAGGGAGAGGAGGAGGAGGAAGAAGAAGAAGAAGAGGAGGAGGAGGAGGAGGAGAAGAGGGGCUCUGUGAAGACCAAACAGCAUUUUACAGCUCUUCCUGAUUACCCAAAGCACAUCAAACUGGACAAGCACAGUUUUGAAGAAGAGGAGGAGGAAGAGGAAGAGGAAGGAGGAGGAGGAGGGUUAGGUGUGGCCCUCCCUCCCCCUCCCACACCACUGCAGUCCCAGCCUCUGAUUGGCCAGCUCUCAGCCAAUCAAGAGAGAGACUUUAUGGCCUUGCAGGUUGAAUUGAGUGAAGCAAGAGUGGAAGUAGAGAGGCUGAGAGACAGACUGGGACAACUUGGUGAUUUGAAGGGACAAGUGAAUGCACUGAGAGAGAAGGUGAAGGUGGAGGGCAGUUCCUACCUGUCGUAUGUGUCUCAGGUGUCGUCGUCAAUCUUGGACUUGAUCUUCCAGAUACAAGACGAGAACACAAGCAAGAGGAAGGAGGAGGAGGAAGAGGAAAGGAAGAGAUCGGAUAGCCUUCACCAGCAGCUGGCAGACACUCAACACAAGCUGGCAGACACUCAACACAAGCUGGCAGACACUCAACACAAGCUGGCAGACACUCAACACAAGCUGGCAGACACACACAGACUGGCUGAUGUUUAUAAAGGCCAGUUGGAAGAUGCUCACAGGGAGAUUGAAGUAUAUAUGGACCAAUUGCAUAGACAAGAACAAAGCCUACAGCAAGCAGCAACAGAAGCAGAGGAAGCAAGACAGAAGAUGGAGGAGGAGAGGAAGAAGGAGGUGGAGGAGGUGGAGGAAAGGUGGAGAGAGAAGAUGAAGCAAGCUACUCUAGAACAUGAACUGGAGAUGGAAGAGUUAAGACAGCAGUUAGGAACAGUGAAGGAGACGCUGGUGGCCGGCCUGGAGGGAAGAGUGGAGGAGAAAGUAAGGGAGCAACUUCAACAAGAAAAAGAAAGAAUUGUAAAGAUUUUGGAAACAAGUUUUGUAGAGAGGGAAAGAAAUGCACUGGAAAUUUUGAAGGCAGAGCUACUGGAAAGGUUGAGGCAGGAGAAGGAGGAAGCAGUGGAAGAAGAAGGGAACAAGAUCAGAGCUGAGUGGAAGAAAGAUUUGCAUAGGAAAGAAGAAGAAAAGAAGAGAGAAAGACAAGAAUUUCUGGAGAAUGAGAGGAGGCACUGGGAGAAGGAGAAGGAAGAGGAAGUGCAGAGGAAACUUGCUCUUGUGGUGGAGGAAGGCCGAAGGGAACUGGAGGAGGAGAGAAAGAGGCACAGGCUGGAAGUUGAAAGCAUAAGGUCUAGAUUUAGAAUGAUGACAACGACGACAGCCACCACCAGCACCUCCCCCACUAGCAUGCCUUUCUCUUCAAGUCCCAGCGAGGAGCACCCGCCCUCCUCCCCACCCUCGUCUCUUAACAGAUGGGAGGGCCUGGACAGACUGAGAGAGGAACUGAUGAAAGAGAGAGAGAUAGAGAUUGAAGAGAGAAUUGCAAGUAUAAGAGAGGAAGAAAGGAGGAAACUAGAUGACGAAAAACAGAUGGAGUUUGCAGAAGCGGUGAAAGCUUUGGCACAGGACAAGGAAAGGGUUAUUGAAGAUUUAAAGAUUAGGAUUCAGCUUCUAACAGAUGAAUGUGACAGAAGAAGAGGAGGAGGAGGAGGAGGAGGAGGAGGAGGAGGAGGAGGAAGGGAGAAAUGUUGGAGGACAGAUAUUGCAAGAAAAUGUUGAAUUGAAGAAUCAGAUCACCUCACUGCAGAAACAAGUCAGAAAUUUGGAAAUUGAACUGGCAAGAGCAAAACGGUUUUCAUUUGUGACGCAGCAGAGCACCACCGCCACCACCACCACCGCCACCGCUGCUGCCGCUGCUGCCACCAACAUGACGGCUUCCACAGCCUCAACGACUGUUAAUGAAGACACAAGAGAGAAUUUGCCACACCAGGCCAGCCCACUCCUGUCUCAUGGUACCAUCACCUUUAAUUCCUGCCUGACUGGGGACACUGUGUUGGUGGUUUGGGAUGCAAUACAUGGCCACUACAGUGUUCAUUUUGAAACCGUUCAUGCUGAGGAGGGUGAAAACUGAGGUGGAAAAUGAAUAAACUUACAGACAAAAUUGAGAACCAAAUGUGGAUGAAGUGGAGAGAAUCCAUUCAAAUUUACAGCAGAUGGAUAGAUUCCUUGGCCCUUAUCCACAUGAGUCCUGGAAGAAGUGGAUCUCUCUCACUCAGCACAUGGAGGAGACAGAACUGAAGUGGAUGAUCCCGCUGUCAGGUGUGGAGGUGGUAAUAAUAGUAGUAGUAGUAGUAAUCGUAUUAGUAACGUCUGGCAUGGAGGUGUACAUUCCUCACUGUUUUUUAACCUUCCAGAUCUUUGUUUAACACAGCUUGUUCUCGUGCUAUACAUGAUAGAGAGGUGGCCCACAAAAGGUACUUAAGCCGUCCAUCACAGGAAUCUCAUGCACUUUAUAUUUCUGUCUGGAACCAUGCCAAGUCUGUUCUCCAACUAGCCAAAACUUCAUUAACAGUGUCAGAAUCUUUCAAUAUCUAACUUCCCUUGUGACUUCUGGCACCAAGCUGAAAAUAUUUCCAAUAACUUUGCUUCUUCUUGUUUCCCUCCUUUAUUUCAACCAGAUGGCACCACUGCUACCAUAUCUAUCUCUAAAGCUGAACUCUUUGCUCAGACCUUUGCUAAAAACUCUACCUUGGACGAUUCAGGGCUUGUUUCUCCCUCCUCCCUCUGACUAUUUCAUGCUACCUGUUAAAAUUCUUGGCGAUGGCAUUUUCCACUGCUAACACAUGUCUCUAAAGCUGAACUCCUUGCUCAGACCUUUGCUAAAAACUCUACCUUUUAAGAUUCAGGGCUUGUUUCUCCCUCUCCUCCACCCUCUGACUACUUCAUACAACCUGUUAAAAUUCUUGGCAAUAGUGUUUUCUGUGCCCUCAUUUGCCUAAACCCUCAGAAGGCUUGCUUGGAAAUUUUGUAGUAAGCAGUUUGUAAAUGAAGACUUGUAUACAAAUUGUAUUGUGAGAAGAGUUUUGCUCCUUACUGAAUAUUUAUCCUCAUGAAGUUACAAAAUAUAGUCUUGAUUCUUCCUGUAGUUUGAAAUUAAUGAUUGGACAGUCUUUCAUUCUCGUUCAGUUAUACUGCGCAAAAUUUUGGCUAAUUCUUGGCUCCAGCACGGCCGCCAUUUCCUGCUCCACUACAAAUUUUGCCCCUCCUCCUCCUCCUCCUCCUCCUGUGUCUUGAAUUAAAGGUUUCUGUCCAGCGUUUUCAAUACAGGUGGGUCUCCUCCUUCACACUUACAACCCAGUGUGAUGGUGGUUUGUGUGUUUGUGCGUUUGUGCGUUGGCUGAGCUUGGGUGUGCAAUAGCAGUAGUGAUGGUAGUAGUAGUAGAAUCUAUCAUCUACUACUACUACUACUACUACUACCAUGUGUGUGUGUGUAUGUGUGUGCGUCUUGACUGAGCCUCCCCAUGUGGGAUUACCAGCUUGAUAUAGUGAUAGACAGACAGACAGAUUAUUAUUACUAUAUUAUCAGCCAUUAAUUCAGAUAGAUUAUUAUUAUUAUUAUUAUUAUUAUUAUUAUUAUUAUUAUCAACCAUUAAUUCUCUCCUUAUUUUCGAGGUUGAGUUUGUUCGGCAGCAAAAUUAAUACCUGUCACUGGGUUCAGGUCUUCCAAGACACGCAGACACACACAGCAGCCCCUCCACCUCCUGGGUUCAGAUCUUCCCAAGACACACAGACACACACAGCAGCUUCUCCACCUCCUCACAGCCCUCCACAGCCCCUGACAGCCUUCAUACACCACCAGAACAGCAACACAGCUUCCACAGGCCUCUCAAACAUCACAGGAGCCUCACAAACAGCCCCACACAGCACCACAAACCCAUUAGACCCCCAGCCCAUUACCUCACCCACUUCACAGCACCCCCCACCCACAGCUCCCAGAAAUGAAGCCGAGGGAAGGGACUAUAUUUUGUUUCACCCAGCCCCCCACCAGAACCUACAGAGAGGGGGCUAGUGAAGACAGAAUAUAGUCUUGACUCUUCCUACAGUUUGAAGUUGAUGAUUGGUAUGGCCGGACAGCUUAGUGGCAGAGCUCCAGGUGGCCUUCGUCAGCUUCUUGGUGGCACAGGUGUGGGAUGGCUGGGACCAGUGGAGGUGUGUGGAGGAGCAUCUGUGCCAGGCAGAGAUCCCUGAAGACCUAUUCAUCAACAUUGUAGUCCAACAACUUCCUUGCCUCUGCACUCAACGCUCUCUUCACCAACAUCAAGGACAACUCCGCCAACCUGCCUUGGUCCUUAAGGCUCAGCACUUCAAGGACCACCUCUCUGCCAAGUUCGAGUGGGAUCUGACACUUGGGGACGAGAGAGUACACGCUGGUGGUGGUUGACUUGGUUGUGCGUGUCUCCAGCACCCUGCAGUACGUACACACACACACACAGACAGACAGACGGACAUCAUCAGAGGAAGAAAAUGCUAUGUUCUGUAAAAGUUUAUGACAUUAAGAAAAUAAAGGGUUAAGAUUCAA